ACUCGAGUGGCGAACGGGUGAGUAACACGUGGGUGAUCUGCCCUGCACUUCGGGAUAAGCCUGGGAAACUGGGUCUAAUACCGGAUAGGAGCCAUCUUUAGUGUGGUGGUUGGAAAGUUUUUCGGUGUAGGAUGAGCUCGCGGCCUAUCAGCUUGUUGGUGGGGUAGUGGCCUACCAAGGCGGCGACGGGUAGCCGGCCUGAGAGGGUGUACGGCCACAUUGGGACUGAGAUACGGCCCAG
rnacentral:rRNA from 1 species